rnacentral:rRNA from 1 species
CCUACGGGAGGCAGCAGUGAGGAAUAUUGGUCAAUGGACGAGAGCCUGAACCAGCCAAGUCGCGUGAAGGAUGACUGCCCUACGGGUUGUAAACUUCUUUUAUCAAGGAAUAAAGUGAGGCACGUGUGCCCUUUUGUGUGUACCUUAUGAAUAAGCAUCGGCUAACUCCGUGCCAGCAGCCGCGGUAAUACGGAGGAUCCGAGCGUUAUCCGGAUUUAUUUGGGUUAAAGGGAGCGUAGAUGGGUUGUUAAGUCAGUUGUGAAAGUUUGCGGCUCAACCGUAAAAUUGCAAUUGAUACUGGCAGCCUUGAGUACAGUUGAGGUAGGCGGAAUUCGUGGUGUAGCGGUGAAAUGCAUAGAUAUCACGAAGAACUCCGAUUGCGAAGGCAGCUUACUAACCUGCCACUGACAUUGAUGCUCGAAAGUGUGGGUAUCAAACAGGAUUAGAUACCCCAGUAGUC